UACGAAGGGGGCUAGCGUUGUUCGGAAUUACUGGGCGUAAAGCGCACGUAGGCGGCGUAACAAGUUAGGCGUGAAAUGCCUGGGCUUAACCCAGGAACUGCGCUUAAGACUGUUAUGCUAGAGACUAGGAGAGGGUGGCGGAAUUCCCAGUGUAGAGGUGAAAUUCGUAGAUAUUGGGAAGAACACCGGUUGCGAAGGCGGCCACCUGGACUAGUACUGACGCUGAGGUGCGAAAGCGUGGGGAGCAAACAGG
rnacentral:rRNA from 1 species